GAUUGGAUUAGGCAUGCAAGUCGAACGAGAUCCUGGGCAUCCAAGUAGCAAUAUGAGGAUGUCCUGGUGACAGUGGCGAAAGGGUGAGUAACGCGCGGGUAAUCUGCCCUCAAGUUGGGGAUAGCUCUGCGAAAGCGGAAUUAAUACUGAAUGUGGUCGUCCUUCACAUGAAGGACUAUCCAAAGCCGGGGACCGUAAGGCCUGGCGCUUGAGGAUGAGCCCACGUACUAUCAGCUAGUUGGUGAGGUGACGGCUCACCAAGGCUAUGACGGUUAGCUGGUCUGAGAGGAUGGUCAGCCACACUGGGGCUGAGACACUGCCCAGACUCCUACGGGAGGCCGCAGUCGAGGAUCAUUCGCAAUGCCCGAAAGGAAUC
rnacentral:rRNA from 1 species